rnacentral:rRNA from 1 species
GAUGAACGCUGGCGGCGUGCCUAAUACAUGCAAGUCGAGCGAACAGAUGAGGAGCUUGCUCCUCUGACGUUAGCGGCGGACGGGUGAGUAACACGUGGAUAACCUACCUAUAAGACUGGGAUAACUUCGGGAAACCGGAGCUAAUACCGGAUAAUAUAUUGAACCGCAUGGUUCAAUAGUGAAAGACGGUUUUGCUGUCACUUAUAGAUGGAUCCGCGCCGCAUUAGCUAGUUGGUAAGGUAACGGCUUACCAAGGCAACGAUGCGUAGCCGACCUGAGAGGGUGGUCGGCCACACUGGAACUGAGACACGGUCCAGACUCCUACGGGAGGCAGCAGUAGGGAAUCUUCCGCAAUGGGCGAAAGCCUGCCGGAGCAACGCCGCGUGAGUGAUGAAGGUCUUCGGAUCGUAAAACUCUGUUAUUAGGGAAGAACAAAUGUGUAAGUAACUAUGCACGUCUUGACGGUACCUAAUCAGAAAGCCACGGCUAACUACGUG